rnacentral:rRNA from 1 species
UACGUAGGGUGCGAGCGUUGCUCGGAAUGACUGGGCGUAAAGGGCGCGUAGGCGGAUGGCACAGUCAGAUGUGAAAUUCCCGGGCUUAACCUGGGGGCUGCAUUUGAUACGUGUGAUCUAGAGUGAGGAAGAGGGUCGUGGAAUUCCCAGUGUAGAGGUGAAAUUCGUAGAUAUUGGGAAGAACACCGGUGGCGAAGGCGGCGACCUGGUCCUUGACUGACGCUGAGGCGCGAAAGCGUGGGGAGCAAACAGG